rnacentral:lncRNA from 1 species
CUCACACCUAUAAUCCCAGCACUUUUGGAGGCUGAGGAGGGCAGAUCACCUGAGGUCAGGAGUUCGAGAACAUCCUGGCCAACAUGGAGAAACUCUGUCUGUACUAAAAAUAUAAAUAUUAGCUGGGCGUGGUGGCAGGCACCUAUAAUCCCAGCUACUCAGGAGGCUGAGACAGGAGAAUCGCUUGAACCCGGGAGGCGGAGGUUGCAGUGAGCCAAGAUCACACCACUGCAUACCAGCCUGGGUGACAAGAGUGAAACUCUGUCUCAAAAAUAAAUAAAUAAAUAAAUAAAUAAAUAAAUAAAUAAAUAAAUAAAUAAAUUUUAUAGUAGAAUUAAAAGAGUGAUUUACCUACCACCAUUAUAGUAUUACAGUAGUCUAUAUUUAUCAGUAUAUUUACAUUUACCAGCAAGUUUUAUACUUUCACAUGCAUUUAUAUUACUGUUUAACAUCCUUUUGUUCCAACUUAAAGAACUUCCUUUAACAUUUUUUGUAAGGCAGGUCCAGCGAUGAUGAACUACCUCAGCUUUUGUUUAUCUAUAAAAGUCUGUAUCUCUCCUUCAGUUUUGAAGGAUAAUUGUACUGGGAAUGAUAUUCUUGGUUGGCAGUUUGUUUGUUGGUUGGUUGGUUUGUUUUCAGCACUUUAAAUAUAUUAUCCCAUGUCCUUCCGGCCUGCAAAGUUUCUGCUAAGAAAUGUAUUAAUUACCUUAUGGAGGUUCCCUUGUACAUGAUGUCACUUUUCUCUUGCUGCUUUCAAAAUUCCCUAUUUGUCUUUGACUUCUGACAAUUCAAUUAUAAUGUGUAUCACUUUGAUUUAUCUGAACAUCUUAUUUGGGAUACACUGGGCUUCCUGGAUCUGGAUGUCAAUGUUCUUUCUCAGGUUUCAGGAGUUUUGAGCCAUUAUUUUUUUUAAUAAGUUUUCUAAACUUUCUCUCUCUCUUCUCCUUCUGGAUCUUCCUAAUGUGAAUGUUGGUCUGCCUGAUGAUGUCCCAUACAUCUCUUAAGCUUUCUUUACUCUUUUUUAUUCUUUUUUCUUUUUGUUCCUCUGGAUAAUUUCCAAUGGCCUGACUUUGAGUUCACUGAUCCUAUCUCCUGCUUGAUUUAGUGUGCUAUUGAAUCCCUCUAUUGAAUUUUUCAAUUCAGUUAUUGUAUUUUUCAGCAGCAUGAUUUCUGUUUGGUACUUUUUGUAUUUUCUGCCUUUUUGUUGAAAAUUCUCACUUUGUGUAUUGUUCUUCUGGCCUUGCAGAGCAUCUUUAAUUAUGGUUAUUUUGUUUUUGUUUUGUUUUGUUGAGACAGAGUCUCGCUGUGUUGCCCAGGAUGGAGUGCAGUGGCAUGAUUUCGGCUCACUGCAACCUCCACCUCCUGGGUUCAAGCAUUUCUCAUGCCUCAGCCUCCUGAGUAGCUGGGAUUACAGUUGCGCACCACUGUGCCCAGCCAAUUUUUAUAUUUUUAGUAGAGAUGGGGUUUUGCCCUGUUGGCCAGGCUGGUCUCAAACUCCUGACCUCAAGUGAUCUACCCACCUCGGCCUCCCAAAGUGCUGGGAUUACAAGCAUGAGCCAUUAUGCCCAGCCUGUGAUUAUAUGGUUAUUUUGAAUUCUCUAUUUUGAAUAUAUGGUUAUUUCAAAUUCUCUUUCGGGUAAAUUGUAUAUCUCUUUCAUUGGGGUCAACUUCAGGAGAUUUAUCUUGUACCUUUGUUUAGGACAUAUUUCCCUGUUUCUUCAUUAUCCUUGGAUCUUUGUGCUGGUGUCUGUGCAUUAGACAAAACAGCCACCUCUCCCAAUCUUCACGGACUGGCCUUGUACUGGAGAAGACCUUCACCAAUCAGCCCAGCCAGAGAUACUGGGGACCUCUCAAAUUUUUGUGCUAGUCCAAACCACCAUCUUUGCAGCCUCCAGGCAUCUUGAGUAUGGCUAGUUUCCAUAGCACUCUGGCACAGGUGGCUCAGAUGAAGAAUUUUGUGAAAAUUCUACUUCGUUAAGCAGACAAAUUGCCCAUUGCCCAUCCCAACCCAGUGGUGCUCAAACUUCACCCACUUACCUUGGAAAUAAUCGUCCUUUUGCAUAAUUGAUCCAAACUGGAAACUAGAUUGUCUUUUCUGAAUAUCUAAGCAAAUUAAAAUGCAUAAUCACAUGACCUAAGUGAUUUAGAACUUAGAAGAAAGACUACCCUUCUAACCAUGAGUUUUAAUCCUGUAAAAGUUCAUCUCAGAAGUAAAUUCAGUUUCCUACAAUCAAAGAACUCUAAAGCUAGAAGGACCUGAAUUUAUGGAGGAGAAAACUAGUGCCCAGACAGUAAGGUAGUAAGGAAAUGAAUAUCAAUCAAUCACUUUCUAGUCAGAUAGUCUACUAGGUACCUUUGCAUAUAGUAUUUCAUCCUCACCCCAGAACCUGAGUGUUCAGGUUCCAUUUUUGUCACCAUGUAGCAGAGAUGAAGAAUCUGAAAUGUUGGGAGUAAAUUUAACUCAUUCAAAAUGACACAAGUAAGCAGGCUUCAGUCGGCCUGACCCAUCAUAUUUAUUGUGAGUUAGAGAGAUGAGACACUGACCUAGGCCAGGCUGUGACAAAACAUAACAGCUGGGAGAAAAUGCAGAAGAGAGAUCAUGGAUUCCAAUACCAGCUAUGAGCACCAGACAAGACACACCUAGGCUUCCUGCACAUCACUUUACUCCUCAGCAAACUGGGAGUUUAAAAAGUAACAAAUCCCAUCUGGGCGCAGUGGCUCACGCCUGUAAUCCCAGCACUUUGGGAGGCCGAGGCAGGCAGAUCACGAGGUCAAGAGAUGGAGACCAUCCUGGCCAACAUGGUGAAACCCCGUCUCUACUAAAAUACAAAAAAUUAGCUGGGUGUGGUGGUGGGCGCCUGUAGUUCCAGCUACCUAGGAGGCUGAGGGAAGAGAAUUGCUUGAACCUGGGAGGCAGAGGUUGCAGUGAGCUGAGAUCGCACCACUGCACUCCAACCUGGUGACAGAGCAAGACUCCAUCUCCAAAAAAAAAAAGUAACAAAUCCCACAAGCUUAUCAUGGCAUGGCUUGGCUCCUGGAAGUAACGGGAUGUGCUUAUAUAGAGGAAAAUGCUGAGCGCUCCUGGACAGCCUGCUGUUCUUCCUGCAGAUGCUGACAGCAGCCUCAGGCCUCAAAAAACUCAAAUGAUGGCUUUAACUCCAGAUGUAAGGAUGGAAAAAAAAGUGCCUUAGCUCCAUCCCAAAGUAAACAUAAAAUUUGCAGGGAAACAGAAAGGAAAAGAAACAGCAAAAGUAUCCAGGAGAUAAGCCUAGGGAAAAGUCAAAGGUCGGAGAGUGGUAGAUACUGCCGGCUAAGAGUUUAGACCAAGACAGCUCAGGAGGCAAUAAAACAGGUCACCAAAGAGCAUCAGACAUGCCAAAUAGCCCAGACAACUGAAAAAGGAGCUGCCCGCCCACCUAUCACAAGAGGAGCCUGGGGCCAAAAAGUAUCAAAUAUGCCGAGCAGACCAUACACUUCUGGUGCACAGCUGGGUUUAAAGAAGAAAGAAUUUAUGGUGUGAAAGACAAUACGACAAUAUGCAAAUCCUGCUGUUGAACCUAAAUCCAAAAAGAAAAAGAAAAUGAUGAUACUUUUUUAACCUUAAGAAACUUAGCUAUACCGGCAAUAAUAAAAAUUGUCAAUAAUCCUAAUAAAAAUAUGUGGUCUACAAAGUGUUUCCAUAAACAGUUUUCCAUGCUUCCUUUGGCAAGUUUAUAAAGUAAGUAGAGAAGACACGGUUAUCUCCACUCUACCUUUGGGGCAACUAAAGCUAGGAGAAGCCACAUGUCUUAUCCAAAGACACAGAGCUAUUAAGGUCGUAAAUGUCAGAGCUAGAAUCCAGGUUCUGGUAAGUGAGUCUCAACCUAGCUCAUUGGAGGCUCAUCACCUGUAGAGCUUCUAAAACUCCCAGUGACCAGGCUGAAUCCCAGAUCAAUCAAAUCAGACUCCCUGAGAGCAGACUCAAGCCUCAAAAAAUUGUUUAAGUUCCCUGGGUGAUUUCAAACACAGCCAAGGUUGAGAACCACUGUCCUGCCGUGUGUCUGAUGAUGAUGACAGAGCACCUGGAAAUAAUUUGAAAGCCACAUGGAAAUGUUUAAGGGGAGGUAUAGCUACAACGAUUGAGAUUUUUAUGGUUUAAAAAACAUGGCAGAAUUUACAGAUCCUAUAAAUUUUGCCUCCAGCCAGAAUUUUUCUUUAUUCCAGGAUGCCAUCUCUAGUCAAAGCACGUUUAGAAAGUUCUGUUUUGUUAAUGUCUGUAUCUUUUUAAUAUCCAGUUUGCUGAUAACAAACCUUUGUCCUUUGAGGAUAGGUUUGACUUUUUUGAAGCUGUUCAAAGAGAAACCUUGUGAGUGACGUAGACAAUCAAUUUGGAUCAUUUUUAAAACCACCUCCAUAGGAUUGUGACUCAUAAUUGAAUCUAAAGGCAGUUCCUGAAGAGACUUGCCAAAAAUUAGUGGGAAUCUGUGCAUAGGGUUCAACAAUGUGAAUGUACUUAAUGCCCCUGAAUUGUACAUUAAAAAUGGCUAAAAUGGUAAAUUUUAUGUUGUACAUAUUUUACCACAAUAAAAAUAAAAUCAGAGGUCUGGC